UGCCCCAUGGCUGGUUACAGCGUCCGACUGUUAAUCGGAAGGUCGUGAGUUCGAGCCUCACUGGGGCAG
rnacentral:tRNA from 1 species